UACGAAGGGGGCUAGCGUUGCUCGGAAUCACUGGGCGUAAAGCGCACGUAGGCGGAUCUUUAAGUCAGGGGUGAAAUCCCAAGGCUCAACCUUGGAACUGCCUUUGAUACUGGGGAUCUCGAGUCCGGAAGAGGUUGGUGGAACUCCGAGUGUAGAGGUGAAAUUCGUAGAUAUUCGGAAGAACACCAGUGGCGAAGGCGGCCAACUGGUCCGGUACUGACGCUGAGGUGCGAAAGCGUGGGGGAGCAAACAGG
rnacentral:rRNA from 1 species